UUGUGGAUUUAGCUCAGUGGUAGAGCGCUUGCUUGCCUAGGAAGCACAAGGCCCUGGGUUCGGUCCCCAGCUCCGAAAA
rnacentral:tRNA from 1 species